UUGGAACAAGCAUUAACAUGAUGAAACCUGGUACGAACAUAGCUGCAGCCCAUUGGCCCCAGUUUAAAGAUACGCCUGUCAAUUUAGUAAUGAAAUCAAGCGCCAAUAAGUUUGGUGCCAUUGCUGUAGCGAACAAGAAGGAUGUUACCUUUGUUGCAAAGUAACCGUUCUGUAAGAGGUAAGCACCUGCUUUUUUAGCAGAUUCGCCAGGAUAAGAACCAACCGCUUCAGCGAUGGACAAGUUGA
rnacentral:antisense_RNA from 1 species